UAAUGGUGAUACCGUUAGGACUGGUUUUAAUUGUUCUAUUCCACGGAACUAAUGGCUACCACAACGACCCUGAACCCUGUACAUCAGCCAAUACGUCUGUGAUAGUAAUCAAUGAAGAAGUCUCCUGUGUAAGACCUCAUAUAAUCUCCAAUAUCUCCAGUGUUUGGAUUCGACCCCAGCUCCCAGAUGGACGACCACUUGUACCUUCUGACGAAUGUACCUGUGAACUUUCAUGUCCCUUGUUACUAAACGACACACUACCAACGAAUGGGACAGAGAGGAUAAGGAUGCAUUCCUGUUUUGGAAGUUGGUCCUUGGG